UGUGGUUUAAUUCGAUGAUACGCGAGGAACCUUACCAAGGCUUAAAUGGGAAUUGACAGGCUUAGAAAUAGACUUUUCUUCGGACAAUUUUCAAGGUGCUGCAUGGUUGUCGUCAGCUCGUGCCGUGAGGUGUUAGGUUAAGUCCUGCAACGAGCGCAACCCCUGUCACUAGUUGCCAUCAUUAAGUUGGGGACUCUAGUGAGACUGCCUACGCAAGUAGAGAGGAAGGUGGGGAUGACGUCAAAUCAUCACGGCCCUUACGCCUUGGGCCACACACGUAAUACAAUGGCCAGUACAGAGGGCAGCUACCAGGCGACUGGAUGCGAAUCUCGAAAGCUGGUCUCAGUUCGGAUUGGAGUCUGCAACUCGACUCUAUGAAGCUGGAAUCGCUAGUAAUCGCAUAUCAGCCAUGAUGCGGUGAAUACGUUCCCGGGCCUUGUACACACCGCC
rnacentral:rRNA from 1 species